CAAGUCUGGUGCCAGCAGCCGCGGUAAUUCCAGNUCCAAUAGCGUAUAUUAAAGUUGUUGCAGUUAAAAAGCUCGUAGUUGAAUUUCGGGACUAAUAUGUCGGUCGUACUUUGUACGUACUAGCAUUAUUGGUUUCUCCCUUCUGACGAACCACGAUGUCAUUAAUUGGUGUCGCGGGGAAUCAGGACUGUUACUUUGAAAAAAUUAGAGUGUUUAAAGCAGGCUCACGCUUGAAUACAUUAGCAUGGAAUAAUGAAAUAGGACGUUUGACCCUAUUUUGUUGGUUUCUAGGAUCGACGUAAUGAUUAAUAGGGAUAUUGGGGGCAUUAGUAUUCAAUUGUCAGAGGUGAAAUUCUUGGAUUUAUUGAAGACUAACUACUGCGAAAGCAUUUGCCAAGGAUGUUUUCAUUAAUCAAGAACGAAAGUUAGGGGAUCGAAGACGAUCAGAUACCGUCGUAGUCUUAACCAUAAACUAUGCCGACUAGGGAUCGGAUGAUGUUAAUUUUAUAAUGACUCAUUCGGCGCCUUACG
rnacentral:rRNA from 1 species